AGCGAACGUUUGCGGCGGGCUUAACACAUGCAAGUCGAACGGGCUGUUCCUUCGGGGGCAGUCAGUGGCGCACGGGUGCGUAACACGUAGGUAAUCAACCCUCUGGUUGGGGAUAACACUUCGAAAGGAGUGCUAAUACCCGGUAUGGCGCAGCGGUCUUCGGAUCGCGGCGAGAAAGACCCGCAAGGGUUGCCAGAGGACGAGCCUGCGGCCCAUCAGCUAGUUGGCGAGGUAACGGCUCGCCAAGGCGAAGACGGGUAGCUGGUCUGAGAGGAUGAUCAGCCACACUGGAACUGAGACACGGACCCAACUCCUACGGGAGGCAGCAGUAAGGAAUAUUGGACAAUGGACGGAAGUCUGAUCCAGCCAUGCCGCGUGCAGGAUGAAGGCGCUCAGCGUUGUAAACUGCUUUUGGAUGGGAAUAAUAACCUCGACGUGUCGGGGCUUGAAGGUACCAUCAGAAUAAGCACCGGCUAACUCCGUGCCAGCA
rnacentral:rRNA from 1 species